UUAAUUGGAUAAUAACCUCAUGAUUAAUUGUCGGGCUCACUUUCAAUAGGCUCAGUGAUAUGCUUCCGGUUAGACUAAUUUCCCAUUUUCUUGGUUGACAAAUUUUGGCCAGACGAUUGCGAGCCUUGAUGAACGACGGCGCUACUAGGCCGUAUAGAAAGCACAGCCCAGCCGAUAUAAUCACGCGGGAAAAUUUAAACGCAUUCAGGUGACCUCUGCGUAAUCUUCGUAUAGACAGACGGUGCCGCCUACAUUGCUGAUUUUUUUUUACCAUGCCGAAACCAAAUUGCUACAACGUUAGAAGCUGUCGCCGGCACGUCGUGCGGCAAUAAUUAGAUAUUUGUAGACAGGGUGCGGUGCGGUGCGUCAAAUGAUGGCAUAGAUGGCACUCGCGCUAACGUGAAACAAGCUUAACAACGAAAUCCGCAUGAGUCGCUCCUUGCUUCGAAUUUGCUUUUAGACGAGCAUCCGCACAUAUUGACGAUACGCUUCCUGUAGUCCUUAAAGACCGUCAAAGAUCGCUAGGUAAAUAAUCAAGGCAUAGCGGCAAACCCAUUCGGCGUGCAGUGUCACCCGUUUUAAUAUCUUCAGUGGGAUCAAGCAAAGUCUGAUCCGUAUUGCAACUUGCUGCAGAAAGAGAAGGCUUAUGGAAAAACAAAAUGAUGACGAACAAAGCUGUAAACCCUUUCGGCCCGUCACCAGGCUGGCACCGCCAUUUUGGCCAUGAAGAGCGUCCUAAUUGCAGUGUCCAUUACAAACAUCGUCGCCUUACUCGAAAAAGCCGAGGAUGACGGAGAAGCAGUUGAAAGAACGACAACACAACACUGUAAUGGAAACGACGCCGAGCGAGUGACAAAUAAACCAACGGGGUACUCCCUUCAUACCAAAGUUAUUGUGGCAAACGCUUAUACCUACCGCGGUAGCAGCAAUGAAGACCAUGACGCGUAUAAAAACGGUGAUUUUCGCAAACGCUCUUCAAGCCUUGCUUUACUUUUACGCGUUCGUGAGUAAAUCCCUAAUAAUCAUCUGUUAAUGUCGAGACAGGCUGAUUCCAAGAAUGAGGAAAAGACUGUUAGAUGACCUGGUUAGCGAGCUGCUUGGUCGCCGUAGCAGCCGGAUGACGUGCGUUGUCUCGACCUUCAC